UGGAGGAAUCUUAUUUGUCAGUGUUAGAUUCCUUGUGCAAUGACGAAAACACAUCUAUAUGUGAAGAAAACUACUUUAUCCCAAAUACUCCAUGCAACUUUGUUUUCCUUUUGUCUUAUUAGUCAUGUUUCCAUAUAUCCCCACUUGAGGGACAUGAGAUGGGUGGGUUUCCACAAGGAUCAGCUGGAGGAGUUUCACAUCCAUCUGGCAAAGCUGCAUGAAGAUAAGCCUCGUGUUUUCCAGAAGCUGCACUUAGAUGAAAUGCUGUCUCCUGAAGCUCUGAAAGUCCCUUUUCUGUGCUGCUCAAGGAAGCACUAAAGACAGGUUGGUUCUGUGCUACUCCAAAUAGCUCUAAAGAAGACAAGUUUGGAACAAUGACCCAUAAAAUGUCCAUACAUUUUAGGAUACUAAUGAAGAGCAAUACUAGUCCAAAGUUCAGUGAUCAGAGUGUGUGUUUGUUUUACUUUAGAACCUCUGUAUAGCAUUUUCUUUGCUUAUACAAUAGCAGAUAUCUUUGGUAUUCUUUAAAUUGAACUUCUAAACCUUCUUUGACAACAUACCACAUAUCCAUUUACACUACACACUAAAAAUAAGAGGGUGCAUCCUUAAUUUUAAAUCAGUUGCAUAGAUUUCAUUGUAUAGAUAUAAUUAGUAGUUUUCCUGUUUAUUGGCAUCUCAGUUAUUUCCAGGCUUCUACUGGCAAUAUCAUCAUGAAUAAAUUGUAUAUAUGUUAAAAAAUAAUAAGCUUGUUCUUAGUCCUUGUUGAAAAAAUUCUGUGUUCACUUAUAUGAGUAGGAUGUGAGACUCAGACAAACAAGGCCUAGGUAGCUCAUGCUUCAUUCUUUUUGCAACACCUUUUGAAAAGGCUUGGAAUAUUCUGGUUAUAAAUGAAAGAUGUCAUCAUUUGCUAUUUCUGUUCAUCUCCAAGUGAAGUUCUAAUGAAACCAUGUGUGGAAGAAUUAAAUCAUUGGAAGGUCAAGAAGCAUCAAAAAAAAAAAGUUUGAACAAGUUCCUGAAAUUGUUGAGUGUUAAAUACUCUCAACUUAUCAUUUGCUCUUCUCACUGCAGUUUUGCACAAGGAAAACAAGUGGGAGCAAUUAAAUCUUGCACCACUCCUCUUGAAUUCAAGACUGAGCCAUUUGGACAGAAGAAAAUUGGGGUACAGGAGCAAAGACCCUCACUGACUAUGUUCUUUUUCCAUUAAUUAGAAGGAAAUUUAAGAAAAUCCCUUUGGUCAUUUUUCUACCCGUCAUGUUAAACAACUGUAAAUAUUUUCUUUCAAUUAUUAUAAAAAUUGAGAAUUAUGGGAUACAGUAGCAGACUUGGUAAAUUUUAAACUGAAAAAUGUAUCAGUGUUUAUUACAUGGACAAAGCAAUAAAAAAUUGCUUCAUCUAAGUUGCCAAGAAACCACACAUGAUGGAGUCCAAGGACAUCCAGAAUCCCCAUGGUCUACACAGUAGCUUACACACUUAACUCUUUUUGGAAAAUAUGGCCACACAAUAUGCUGAUGGGCUUCCCAUUCAUCUUAAGUGUCUUUAGUGUGAGUCUCUCUUCUCUAUGAUUUCUUGAUAAGUUCCUCAUGAUGAAAAUUCUUUUGUCGUUAUAUACCUUGUUAGUUCUGAUUCUUGUCCUUGGGAAUCAAAGAAUAUUAGGGUUAGAGGUGCAAUAUCAUUCAGUCAUUUAGGCAAGACUUUCAUUUUAAAGAUGAAGAAGGUAAUCUCUGAGCAUGAGAAAAGACAGAGGAAUUCUGUACUUUCGUCAUUAUGUCACUCUUUUGCUUGCAAACUCCUUGAGGUUAGGAAUUUGUUUUACUCAUCAAUAAAUCCACAGUAAUACAAUGUGGAGAAUGCAGCUGGUGCACAAACAAUAUUGAAAGAUUGUAGAUAUCUCUGUUCAAAGUCACACAGCUGCCGGAACCAGUGGCUCACUGGGAUGAGCCUUGUGUCUACUGAUCACUCGUUAAGGAUGUUGCCUCUGAAUUCUUCCUCCAAGGGUUUUUCCCCCCUCCUUGGAAUGAAGAAUAAAUAUCUAUUGUUUUGCUUAUCAUGUAAAAAGUUAUAUAUGUUUCUACAAAUACUAGCCAAAGCAUCCUACUUUAAAACUUCUCUUUAAAAUUCUGGAGAGUGUCACCUUGACAGUAGGCACAGAAUCUUCCAACUGCAAUAGAUAAUUAACAGAAUUUUUAAAACUCAGUGACAAAAAAUAAACCCCACUCCCAGUAAUUAAACAAACAAAAUGAAACAAUGCCAUACAUUUCAGAAGGGCAGGGGAAUUAGAGGAGAAAACGACAAUAAUUUUAAAAAAGAAAGGCAAGAUAAGAAGAAGAAGACUGAGGCUUAGCUCUGGGAAUCUCCUAACCUAGUCUCCACUCUUUGACAGGUGAUGCUGAGGAUAUCAACAGAAUUAAGAGGAACAUCCAAGACUUUACUCUAAAUUCGUGUUCACGUCGAAGAUGAAUUAUCACCAGGGGAAUAGAGUCAUUCAUGGUAGAGAAUAUUCAACAAAAUCUCAGAAAAGAGGAAAAAACAGAUUCAGUAAAGAUCUACCCUUAGUUUAGCUUUCCCCUUCUUACUUGUGCCUUUCAUAGCCUCAGUAUACAGAAAUCUAUGGCUCAGAAGAAAACGUAAACAGUCCAGAUAAGAAGAUAAGAGUGUUGGGGUUUCCAGUUUCGUCUCAGACAUGUAAAUAGCCUGGAAGUCAUUAUUCCUGUUUUUACAGCAAUAAAACACAGAAUAAGCUGAAAAUAAGUGACUUCCUUGACCCAUUAUAAAAUUGAGGUUGCAUGGUGAAACUCCACCCCCAAAUCUAGAAGACAGGUAAAUACAGAAAACUAUAGUCAAGAUCGGUUUACCCAGAGUGGAAACCCC
ensembl:lncRNA